GCCCGUAUAACUCAGUGGUAGAGUACCUCCUUGGUAAGGAGGAAGUCACGAGUUCAAAUCUCGUUACGGGCU
rnacentral:tRNA from 2 species